UUAUUUGAUGAUUUAUUUCAGUAAUAAAUACAUAAAAUGAAACAAUAUUGUAAAAGUAACUUCAAUGCAAUUUUAUAGUAUUUUAAAAAGCAUCUGUUGAACUCACAAAUCUUCAUUUUUAUUAAGUCUGUAUGAAUGAAAAACCUUUCCUGUGCCCCAACUUAAGAUUGACCAAUGUAAAACAAGGUCCCCACUUUGAAUUGAGUUUCCUGUGGCUGCAUGUGGACAUUUUGCAUCUCUGUGAAUCAGUAUAAAUUGUCCUAUCAAUCACUUCUGGAAAUAGAAUCAACUUCUGUCAUUCUGGACAGGGUAAGGAUAUGUGCAACCUAUCUACAUCUGCAUGUUGAAAGUUCUGUAAAUAAGUUACAUAAACAAACAGAAGAUGGACUCAGUGAAGUGAUCCAGAUGAAGAUUUCCAAGGGUCAACAAUAAAUGCACAAAUGCAAAAAGAUACAGUGAGCUCUGAAGUGGACGGAAAUGACAGGAAGAGUUAAAAGAUAUUGUAACUGUACUGAAAAAAGAACUGGUAUUAUCAACAUAUGAUGAAUAUUCUACCGAAUGCCAACAAAAACUAUAAGCCAUUAUUGCAG